rnacentral:lncRNA from 1 species
UCCCAGCACACUCCCAGCCCAUUCCCACCAUUCCCAUCCUAUUCCGACCCCAUUCCCACCCAUUCCCAGCCAUUCCCAUCCCAUUCCCAACCCACUCCCACCCCAUUCCCAGCCAUUCCCAUCCUAUUCCCACCCUAUUCCCACCCAUUCCCAGCCAUUCCCAGCCCAUUCCCAGUCAUUCCCACCACAUUCCCAGCCCAUUCACACCAUUCCCACCCUUCCCACCCCAUUCCCAGCCAUUCUCCCCAUUCCCAGCCAUUCCCAGCCCAUUCCCAGCCAUUCCCAGCCCAUCCCAGCCAUUCUCUCCCCAUUCCCGCCCAUUCCCAGCCCAUUCCCAGCCAUUCCCAGCCCAUUCCCAGCCAUCCCCAGCCCAUUCCCAGCCCAUCCCCAGCCCAUUCCCAGCCCUUCCCAGCCCAUCCCAGCCAUUCCCAGCCCAUUCCCAUUUCCCAGGAGCAGCUGCUGAAGGAGGGCAUGGCCUGGCUGGACGCUCAGGCUCCGGCUGAGCCGCAGUUCUGGCUGCCCGCGCUCUUCCCCGAGCUGCUCGCCCAAGACGGAGCCGCCCCGCAGCCCUGAGUGUGCUGGGAUCAUCAGGAAUUCCAGCUGGGAUCAUUGGGAAUUCCAGCUGGGAUCAUCGGGAAUUCCAGCUGGGAUCAUCGGGAAUUCCAGCUGGGAUCAUCGGGAAUUCCAGCUGGGAUCAUCUGGAAUCCCUGCUGGAAUCCUCCACAAUCCUGGCCAGAAACCUCAGCAAUACCAGCUGGAAUCCUUGGGAAUCCCUCCUGGAGACCUCGGGAAUCCCUCCCAGAAUCCUUGGGAAUCCCCCCUGGAAUCCCCCCUGGAAUCAUCAGGAAUUCCAGCUGGAAUCCUCCAGAAUCCUGGCUGGAAUCCUUCCUGGAAUCUCUCCCAGGAUCCUCGGGAAUCCCCCCUGGAAUCCCUCCUGGAAUCUUCAGGAAUCCUGGCUGGAAUCCUUCCUGGAAUCUCUGCCAGGAUCCUUGGGAAUCCCUCUUGGAAUCCCUCCCAAAAUCCUUGGGAAUCCUUCAUGGGAUGCUCAGAAAUCCCUCCCGGAAUCCUCGGGAUCCCUCCCAAUCCCAGGGACAGCGGGACUGGGAAUAAAAGUUUUGUAAAAGGUUCCUGAGUUUGGGAAGUUUGGGAUCAAUUCCCGCUGGAUUCGCUGCCUGCUUUGGGGUGGAAAUGCCUCGGAUUGUGGAAAACGAGGAAAAGGAGCCGAGAGCGGAGUCUGGGAGACCCAAAUGGGAUUUGCAGUGGGAAAUGGGAUCUGGGCUCUGGAAUUUUGGCUCCCAGCAGUGGCAAAACUGGGAAUCCUGUCCUGCAGUGCCGCGGGAAAUCGUUAUUCCAGGAGAAUUCCCACUAAGGAAUACCACAGGCUCCGUUCUGCCAAAACAAAACUUUAUUGCACAAAGGGGGAAAAAAUAAAAAUUAAAAAAAAAA